rnacentral:rRNA from 1 species
GUACACUCCUGCGGGAGGCAGCAGUGAGGAAUAUUGGACAAUGGGUGGAAGCCUGAUCCAGCCAUCCCGCGUGCAGGAAGACGGCCCUAUGGGUUGUAAACUGCUUUUAUCUGGGGAUAAACCUACUUACGUGUAAGUAGCUGAAGGUACCAGAAGAAUAAGCACCGGCUAACUCCGUGCCAGCAGCCGCGGUAAUACGGAGGGUGCAAGCGUUAUCCGGAUUUAUUGGGUUUAAAGGGUCCGUAGGCGGACUGAUAAGUCAGUGGUGAAAUCCGACAGCUUAACUGUCGAACUGCCAUUGAUACUGUUAGUCUUGAGUAAGGUUGAAGUGGCUGGAAUAAGUAGUGUAGCGGUGAAAUGCAUAGAUAUUACUUAGAACACCAAUUGCGAAGGCAGGUCACUAAGUCUUAACUGACGCUGAUGGACGAAAGCGUGGGGAGCGAACAGGAUUAGAAACCCCGGUAGUCCCAUG